ACUGCAGUAAAGCAGUAAAAUAAUUGAGCUCUAGCACUUUUAGAGUAAAAAAUGCUGUUAUUAACUGCAGUAAGUGUCUGCUGGAGCUUUAAAAUGCUGAGUAGAAGCUUAACAUUCUCACUAAGUGCUAACUAACUUAAUUGCGUUGACCAAACGUUCAGUUUGAGUGUUAAUGAGGUGAGAGUAUGGAGCCAGAGUGGAGAGCUUGGAGUGAGAGUUCACCAUUAACUAACUGUUACAGGUGGCAAGAUGGCGUCAAGAAAUCAGUUCCGGGUCACAGAGGAGAGGAGGAGGAUCGGUAGGAAAACUGAGGUACUUUUGGGGAUUCUGGAUGCAGCCAGAGAGAGAGCGAGAGAGGACCCAGGAUGACUGAAGCGUUGCAUUUGUUUGGAGGUUCUACACAUGAGAUCCCCUCCUAGGCUAACCGUGGAUCCUGCUGGCUUCUAGAAGAGGACCCACCCAGCAGCACCCUCAUUCCUAGAC